ensembl:lncRNA
AAAAAAAAAGUAAAGAAAGAGAAGAGGAAAAAGGUGCGUUGCUGGAGCUGGAUGUUCUAAACUUCCUUUCUCCAACUUCUUCCCAAAUGGAAGCUAAAAAUGAUGAUCUCUAGUUGGUAAGUAACGCUAAGAAACAGCAGAAGAGAUUCUUCUGCUGUUUCAAGAGCGAGAGAGGAGGACAAAAUGGUAAAAAAAAGUAAAGAAAGAGAAGAGGAAGAAGGUGGGUUGCUGGAGCUGGAUGUUCCAAACUUCCUUUCUCCAACUUCUUCCCAAAUGGAAGCUAAAAAUGAUGAUCUCUAGUUGGUAAGUAACGCUAAGAAACAGCAGAAGAAGAGAUUCUUCUGCUGUUUGAAGAGCGAGAGAGGAGGACAAAAUGGUAAAAAAAAAGUAAAGAAAGAGAAGAGGAAGAAGGUGGGUUGCUGGAGCUGGAGGUUCUAAACUUCCUUUCUCCAACUUCUUACCAAAAAAUGAAAAAAAAAAUCAAAAUCUCCAGAAAGAAAAACUGGAUCUGGAUAUUGAAAAUGAAAAUCUACAGACAGAAAAACUGGAUCUGGAAGCUAAAAAUGAUGAUCUCCAGUUGGUAAGUAAUGCUAAGAAACAGCAGAAGAAGAGAUUCUUCUGCUGUUUGAAGAGCGAGAGAGGAGGACAAAAUGGUAAAAAAAAGUAAAGAAAGAGAAGAGGAAGAAGGUGGGUUGCUGGAGCUGGAGGUUCUAAACUUCCUUUCUCCAACUUCUUACCAAAAAAUGAAAAAAAAAAUCAAAAUCUCCAGAAAGAAAAACUGGAUCUGGAUAUUGAAAAUGAAAAUCUACAGACAGAAAAACUGGAUCUGGAAGCUAAAAAUGAUGAUCUCCAGUUGGUAAGUAAUGCUAAGAAACAGCAGAAGAAGAGAUUCUUCUGCUGUUUCAAGAGUGAGAGAGGAGGACAAAAUGGUAAAAAAAAAAAGUAAAGAAAGAGAAGAGGAAGAAGGUGGGUUGCUGGAGCUGGAUGUUCUAAACUUCCUUUCUCCAACUUCUUACCAAAAAAUGAAAAAAAAAAUGAAAUUCUCCAGAAAGAAAAACUGGAUCUGGAGAUUAAAAAUGAAAAUCUACAGACAGAAAAACUGGAUCUGGAAGCUAAA